AUCUCCAUCACUUGAAGAAAUAUUUAUAAGAGUAUUCUAAUUUCCAUCAUAUCACAUGAAUAUCACAAGUUUCCUAUCUAUGCCACACAAACCAAUUCAAGAGUUUCUUUGGACAAAAUUUUCAAGACAAAUCAUUCAAUCCUAAAUUCCAAGUUUUUUUUCAUUCAUCAUCCCUUCAAACUUCUCUCAUGGGUCAUUCAAAAUCCAUAAAAAAUUAUUCAAGUUGUAACUACAAUUUACCAAAUACAAGAAUGUUGAAGUUUCCUACAAGCCAAUUACAAAAAAAGAAUGUUACAAGUUUAUACUACUUGAAUUCAAGAAUUUCAAAAUUCCUAUGGCCUAAUACAUGCAAAAUUUCCAUAAACUACAAAAGAGUUUCUCCAAACUUCAAGUUGUCAUCUCCUUUCAAACUUAUUGUUAAGCCACAGGUUCUUCUUCUUCUUGUCUUGCCGUCCUCAUCAUUGUUCCCACACAUGAAACAAAGAAAGAAGAAGUGGUUAGAACAAAAAAAAAACUCAAACAUCAACAAAAAUUUCCAAAGAAAUGUAUCUUUUCAAUUUCAUCAUUAG